GAUGAACGCUAGCUACAGGCUUAACACAUGCAAGUCGAGGGGAAACGACAUCGAAAGCUUGCCUUUUGGUGGGCGUCGACCGGCGCACGGGUGAGUAACGCGUAUCCAACCUGCCCACCACUUGGGGAUAACCUUGCGAAAGUAAGACUAAUACCCAAUUGAUAUCCCACGAAGGCAUCCGAAUGGGAUUAAAGAUUUAUCGGUGAUGGAUGGGGAUGCGUCUGAUUAGCUUGUUGGCGGGGUAACGGCCCACCAAGGCAACGAUCAGUAGGGGUUCUGAGAGGAAGGUCCCCCCACAUUGGAACUGAGACACGGUCCAAACUCCUACGGGAGGCAGCAGUGAGGGAAUAUUGGGUCAAUGGGCGAGAGCCUGAACCAGCCAAGUAGCGUGCAGGAUGACGGCCCUAUGGGUUGU
rnacentral:rRNA from 1 species